AUGAACGCUAGCGGGAGGCCUAAUACAUGCAAGUCGAGCGGUAUAGAGACUUCGGUUUCUAGAGAGCGGCGCACGGGUGAGUAACACGUAGGUAAUCUACCCUUUGGCGGGGGAUAACGUUCCGAAAGGAGCGCUAAUACCGCAUAAGACCACGGAGUCUCCGGACGCUGUGGGAAAAGGUGGCCUCUUCUUGAAAGCUACCACCGAAGGAUGAGCCUGCGUCCCAUCAGCUAGUUGGUAAGGUAAUGGCUUACCAAGGCGAAGACGGGUAGCUGGUUUGAGAGAAUGAUCAGCCACACUGGCACUGGAACACGGGCCAGACUCCUACGGGAGGCAGCAGUGAGGAAUAUUGGGCAAUGGGCGAAAGCCUGACCCAGCCACGCCGCGUGAGUGAUGAAGGCCCUCGGGUCGUAAAGCUCUGUGGAGAGGGACGAAAACCCUGGUUUCAAAUAGGCUCCAGGCUUGACGGUACCUCUUUAGCAAGCACCGGCUAACUCUGUG
rnacentral:rRNA from 1 species